GUUCACAGACAGGUGGGCGCCAUAUUGAUUGGUAUCGGUUUGAUCGUCCGGUUUUCAGGGGACAUGUGCCGAUAAACGUCAUGUACCAAAUGUCUAUUGGCUAAAUCUACAAGAUGGAGGGCAAGAGCAGAAGUGGUUCAGCAAGAAGAAAACCAGUAUCCACUUUAAAAGUACGUCAUUCUUUUGGCAAGAAGAGUAAAGCUGCCAGCAGCUCCGAUUCCGAGGAAUUCUCAGAUUUGGAAAAUUCACUGAAACCAGCAUCACCUUGUAACUCUGACAUUGAAUCCAUUCCAGAAUUGCCUGAAGUUUCAUCAACUUUGGGAAACUUGGAUGUGUUUAACUGUACAGCGUGCAAUAGACAAGUUAAUCCCAAUGUGAAAGGAGCAGCAAAAAGACAUCCAGACCUUGGGGUUCUUAUUUGCAAGAAAUGCUACAGUUACUAUAAAAGUGGUGAGAUAGCCCAGGACAGUGAUGGCCUUGACGAACAGUGCCGCUGGUGUUCAGAGGGAGGCAAACUCGUGGGGUGUGAUUACUGCCACAACGCUUUUUGUAAACAGUGUAUACUACACAAUUUUGGACGAGCAGAACUGUCCAAAGUCAAUGGUGAUGAUGACACCAAAUGGAAGUGUUAUAUAUGCGAUAGUUCACAAUUAUUGAAAUUAACUGCAUUUUGUGAUGACAUGAUGGACAAAAUUGAAAAGCAGCGACAGUUGGAAAAAACAGCAGCAAAUACACCAAAGUCAGAAAAGAGCUCUAAAAAGAAUACGUCAUUGACAAAUAGUAACUCUAAAAUGAAUUCAAAACCAUCGCCAUCAAAUCAGACGCGUGUAGUACCCAGUAUUAAGAUCAUUCCUUCUUGUGUCGAGGAUGUUGUGUGCAAGCUGACGGGAAUAUCGAACACCUUUAUAACAAUGUUAGAAGUUAUGAAAACAGAUUUAGAACUCCCUUACAGCAUGAUGAGUCCAUUUGAUGUCAAGGUGGAUAGGAAACGACUUGGAUAUGCUGGAAUUUUGCAGAAAGGACUGGAAACCUAUACCAGCGCCAUAGAUAGGAUUUUGUCGGAACAGAUUGAGCCAAAAGAUGCCAAUAAUUCCCAGAAUACAGGAAAGAAAAAAACUUCAACGUCAAGUUCUAAUGAUGAUGACGAUGACGAUGAUGAUGAUGACGAUGACGACGACGAUGACGAUGACAAUGAAGAUAAGAAUUCAAGCAAUGAUGGUGAAAAAAAUGACAAGAUAAUUGAACCCAUGGAUGAGAAUGGUGAAGCAGAUGAUGAUGAAAAUGAACUUGCUAAGAAAGUGAUUCUUGAUGACAUGCAAGAGAAUUCUGAUGAGAAUGGUGAUGUAAAUUCAAGUGAUACAGCUAAAAAAAGAGCCAUACAGACGAAGUUGUUGAAUGCCAAACUGUCAGAAAGUGACUCUAAUAUUGGGAAGAAAAAAGCUAAACAAAAACUUGACAAAGCCAAAGAUGACAGUCUUUCAUCAGACAGGUACUUCCAGUCAUCCAAAAAGAGCAAAAAGAGAAAACAUUCCAGCAGUAGUAGUUCAGAGGAAGACAGUGACAGUGACAGUGACGAAGACAGUGAAUCAAAGAGUGAAGAAGAGGACAGUGAUGACUCCAGUUCCAAAAAGAAGAAGAAGAAGAAGAAGCGCAAAGGUUCCAAGAAAGGAAAGCGUGGGAAAAAGGGCAAAGGAGGUAAAGGCAAGAAGAAACUGAAACGAAUCAAAGUUCCGAAAGACUCGUCUGAUGAAGAUGGUGGAUCAGACAGUGAUCAAUCAGGAUCAUUCAACAAUAUAGUCCAGAUAACUGAUGACAAUUCCCCUACUAAAUGUCCCAUGACGACACAGCUCAUUCUUGAGAGAGAUAAGGAAAGUGAAGAGCCAAUCAUUGAAGUCAACAAGAAAUUGGUGCGCAAGUUGAAACCUCAUCAAGUAGAGGCUGUGCAGUUCAUGUAUGACUGUUGCUGUGAGUCUGUUGAAAGGCUGAAGAAACAGCCUGGAUCAGGCUGCAUUCUGGCACAUUGUAUGGGUCUCGGUAAAACUUUAUCGGUUGUCAGCUUUGUUCACACGAUGAUAAAGCAUUACGAUCUUACGAACAUUGGAACGUGUUUAGUAGUGUGUCCUCUCAACACGGUUCUCAACUGGGUUCACGAGUGGGAUAUGUGGCUGGAUGAGAAAGACAAACUAGAGAUUUAUGAAAUGGCUGGUGUCAAAGGUAACAAUGAGCGCAUGCACUACCUUGAAGACUGGCACAAAAAUGGAGGUAUCAUGAUAGUGGGGUAUGAAAUGUACCGAUCUUUGUCCACUGGUUGUCGAGUGAAGGGCAAGAAAAUGAAGAAAGUAUUUGCUGAAACACUUGUGGAUCCUGGACCAGAUAUGGUUGUAUGUGAUGAGGGACAUAUUUUAAAGAACGAUCAAUCAUCGAUAUCAAAGGCUAUGAAUAUGAUGAAAACUAGACGAAGAAUUGUGCUCACUGGCACACCACUGCAGAACAAUCUUGUUGAAUAUCAUAGUAUGGUCAGCUUUGUGAAGCCGAAUUUGCUUGGUACCAAAAAAGAGUUUCUUAACCGAUUCGUCAACCCAAUUGGGAACGGUCAGUGUUCUGACUCGACACCUCACGAUGUCAAAGUCAUGAAGAGAAGAGCACACAUUAUCCACGAAAUGUUAGCUGGUUGUGUGCAGAGACGUGACUUUUCUUCACUGACAAAAUUCCUGCCACCAAAGAUGGAGUAUGUAAUUCUGGUCCGACUGACGCCCAUGCAGAUCACGCUGUACGAGAAAUACCUGGAAGUGACUGGACAGGCCCAGGAGGGACAGAUCAUAAGCCGAGGGGCACGUCUCUUCUCAGAUUAUCAGAAUCUCAUGAAGAUCUGGACUCAUCCAUGGGUGCUGAAGUUGGCAGAAAUUAGAGAUGAGGCCAAGAGACAGUAUAAUGAUGAGGAUGAUGAAGAUGAUGAAGAUGAUGGUGUGUUGUCAUCGCAGACUGAUUCCGACAGUGGUGACAGUUUGUUAGAAAAGAGGGGAGGGGAAGAUACAAGUGGUGAUGUAUCGAAGGCGUUAGAGGACCAAGGUGCACCACCUGUGAGCAGUGAGUGGUGGGCGGAGUUUGUGAAGCUAGAGGAUGCACACAAGGUUGAACUCAGUGGCAAGCUGACACUGCUUUUUGAGAUUCUCAGGCUUUCUGCAGAGAUUGGCGACAAAGUUUUGGUUUUUAGUCAAAGCUUGUUGUCUCUAAACAUUAUUGAAGAUUUCUUGGACGACGUUGACCAAAAGAAUCAGGAAGAAGGAGAAGCAAAAAGACUUCAAGCAGAGUUGAAGAAGAAGGAAAAAAAGAAAGAGGAAGCAGAAAACAAAAUGGAAACCAAUGAAAAUGAAGGAGAGAAAAAAGAUGGUGAUGAAAGCGACAAAAAAGAUGACGAAAAGAAAGAAUCAGAUGAUGAAGAUGAGCUGCCUGAGGCUUUCGGCAAGAGUUGGAUAAAGGGUGCUGAUUAUUUCCGAAUAGAUGGUUCCACUAAUGUCCAACUUAGAAAUGCUUGGUCUAAUCACUUCAAUGAUCCUGAACAUUACAGAGCUCGUCUGUUUUUGAUCUCGACAUGUGCAGGCAGUUUGGGGAUUAACUUAGUGGCAGCAAACAGGGUGAUCAUCUUUGAUGCAUCGUGGAAUCCAUCUCAUGACAUCCAGUCUAUAUUCCAAGUUUACAGACUCGGACAAACAAAACCUUGCUAUAUAUACCGAUUAUUGGCGCAGGGAACGAUGGAAGAAAAGAUCUAUGAAAGACAUGUAAUGAAGCAGUCAUUGGCUCAGCGUGUGGUUAACAAACAUCAGAUUGAUCGCCACUUCACAGCCGCAGAUCUCCAGGAACUGUACAGGUUCAGACCCGACAGACUGGACGAUCCAGAUAAACAAGACAGACCCUUGUUGACUCUUCCACAGGAUGUUCUGCUGGCUGAAGUGAUCAAGUCUCAGAAGGACCUUGUGGUCACGUACCACACACACGACUCACUGCUGGAGAACAAGGUGGACCAGGAGUUGUCUGAAGAAGACAAGAAGGCAGCGUGGGAGGAAUACGAAAACGAGAAGAAGAGAAUUUCAAACAGAGUCCAGACUGGUUAUGCUGGCAACAUGGGAAUGGGUAUGGGCAGGGGCUUGCUCAGUCCCAACAAUCUGAAGCAGAUCGCACAGAUGGUUCGAGCACAGUAUCCCAAUCUUCCACCUGAAAUGUUCCAAGCUCAAGUACAGAGUGUCUUGCAGAGGCAGAUAAUGAUGAAUCAGGAAAUACAGAAUCGACAGAUUGAGCAGCAAAAGAUGUUAGAAAUGAAACGUCUUCGUCGAAUUCGUAAACAGAUUAACCAACAGCAGAACCAGAUUAGCCAGCAGCAGAACAGACUGUUAGGUCAGCAGAACUGGAGGAACCCAAUGUUAUCACAGAUGCAAUCCAUGAAUCAGCAACAGGCAUUAGGCCUAAAAAAUUCAAUGCCCCAGAAAAAUCUGGCCAUGCUUCAGGCCGAACUGGAAAGAGCUACCAACAGAGUUGGUAACAAAGGGGGCAGUAACGUGGGAGGACGGAAUAAGCAGACGACAAAUGGGACUGCAGGAUCUCUGAUCCAACGAAAAAACCACCUGUAAAUAAUGUGAUUGAAACUAUCGACUUGUCUUAACUAGUGACCAUUUUAGAGCAUUGAUUGUCAAAGGUUGUUUUAACACAGGAAUUGGAGAAUGGGACGCACUAUAGACCUUAAUUACUGAUGUUGGAUGAAAACAAGGACUACAAAUGUGUACUAAAGUGUUUUAUUCUAUGUCUUCCCCUCCCCUUUUGUUUUAUAUAGUAGAUAAAAUCAGAUAAAGCCUCGUACAAAAGAAAUUGUAUUACAAUCACGUGUUAGAGAUUUUCAUAAAUGUGUACAAUCAAUCUGUAUAAAAGACUACCUAGCCUUGAACUAAAGCCAUUUUUAGAUUGUU